CCGGCGAGGGGAGUGAAAAAGAACCUGAAACCGUGUACGUACAAGCAGUGGGAGCACGCUUAGGCGUGUGACUGCGUACCUUUUGUAUAAUGGGUCAGCGACUUAUAUUCUGUAGCAAGGUUAACCGAAUAGGGGAGCCGAAGGGAAACCGAGUCUUAACUGGGCGUUAAGUUGCAGGGUAUAGACCCGAAACCCGGUGAUCUAGCCAUGGGCAGGUUGAAGGUUUGGUAACACUAACUGGAGGACCGAACCGACUAAUGUUGAAAAAUUAGCGGAUGACUUGUGGCUGGGGGUGAAAGGCCAAUCAAACCGGGAGAUAGCUGGUUCUCCCCGAAAGCUAUUUAGGUAGCGCCUCGUGAAUUCAUCUCCGGGGGUAGAGCACUGUUUCGGCAAGGGGGUCAUCCCGACUUACCAACCCGAUGCAAACUGCGAAUACCGGAGAAUGUUAUCACGGGAGACACACGGCGGGUGCUAACGUCCGUCGUGAAGAGGGAAACAACCCAGACCGCCAGCUAAGGUCCCAAAGUCAUGGUUAAGUGGGAAACGAUGUGGGAAGGCCCAGACAGCCAGGAUGUUGGCUUAGAAGCAGCCAUCAUUUAAAGAAAGCGUAAUAGCUCACUGGUCGAGUCGGCCUGCGCGGAAGAUGUAACGGGGCUAAACCAUGCACCGAAGCUGCGGCAGCGACGCUGAUGCGUUGUUGGGUAGGGGAGCGUUCUGUAAGCCUGCGAAGGUGUGCUGUGAGGCAUGCUGGAGGUAUCAGAAGUGCGAAUGCUGACAUAAGUAACGAUAAAGCGGGUGAAAAGCCCGCUCGCCGGAAGACCAAGGGUUCCUGUCCAACGUUAAUCGGGGCAGGGUGAGUCGACCCCUAAGGCGAGGCCGAAAGGCGUAGUCGAUGGGAAACAGGUUAAUAUUCCUGUACUUGGUGUUACUGCGAAGGGGGGACGGAGAAGGCUAUGUUGGCCGGGCGACGGUUGUCCCGGUUUAAGCGUGUAGGCUGGUUUUCCAGGCAAAUCCGGAAAAUCAAGGCUGAGGCGUGAUGACGAGGCACUACGGUGCUGAAGCAACAAAUGCCCUGCUUCCAGGAAAAGCCUCUAAGCAUCAGGUAACAUCAAAUCGUACCCCAAACCGACACAGGUGGUCAGGUAGAGAAUACCAAGGCGCUUGAGAGAACUCGGGUGAAGGAACUAGGCAAAAUGGUGCCGUAACUUCGGGAGAAGGCACGCUGAUAUGUAGGUGAGGUCCCUCGCGGAUGGAGCUGAAAUCAGUCGAAGAUACCAGCUGGCUGCAACUGUUUAUUAAAAACACAGCACUGUGCAAACACGAAAGUGGACGUAUACGGUGUGACGCCUGCCCGGUGC
rnacentral:rRNA from 1 species